ACGUGGGGUGCGAGCGUUAAUCGGAAUUACUGGGCGUAAAGAGCAUGUAGGCGGCUAUGUAAGUCGGUUGUGAAAGCCUUCCGCUUAACGGAAGAAUGGCGGUCGAAACUGCAUGGCUUGAGUGCGGGAGGGGAGAGUGGAACUUCUGGUGGAGCGGAGAAAUGCGUAGAUAUCAGAAGGAACGCCGGCGGCGAAAGCGACUCUCUGGUCCGAAACUGACGCUGAGUGUGCGAAAGCUAGGGGAGCAAACGG
rnacentral:rRNA from 1 species